UGGGGAAUAUUGCGCAAUGGGGGAAACCCUGACGCAGCAACGCCGCGUGAAGGACGAAGGCUUUCGGGUUGUAAACUUCUUUAGUCGGGGACGAAUGGAUGACGGUACCCGAAGAAUAAGCCACGGCUAACUACGU
rnacentral:rRNA from 1 species